rnacentral:rRNA from 1 species
GAUGAACGCUGGCGGCGUGCCUAAUACAUGCAAGUCGAGCGAACAGACGAGGAGCUUGCUCCUCUGACGUUAGCGGCGGACGGGUGAGUAACACGUGGAUAACCUACCUAUAAGACUGGGAUAACUUCGGGAAACCGGAGCUAAUACCGGAGAAUAUAUUGAACCGCAUGGUUCAAUAGUGAAAGACGGUUUUGCUGUCACUUAUAGAUGGAUCCGCGCCGCAUUAGCUAGUUGGUAAGGUAACGGCCUACCAAGGCAACGAUGCGUAGCCGACCUGAGAGGGGGAUCGGCCACACUGGAACUGAGACACGGUCAAGACUCCUACGGGAGGCAGCAGUAGGGAAUCUUCCGCAAUGGGCGAAAGCUUGACGGAGCAACGCCGCGUGAGUGAUGAAGGUCUUCGGAUCGUAAUACUCUGUUAUUAGGGAAGAACAAAUGUGUAAGUAACUAUGCACGUCUUGACGGUACCUAAUCAGAAAGCCACGGCUAACUACGUG